AUUGAACGCUGGCGGCAGGCCUAACACAUGCAAGUCGAGCGGAUGAAGGGAGCUUGCUCCUGGAUUCAGCGGCGGACGGGUGAGUAAUGCCUAGGAAUCUGCCUGGUAGUGGGGGAUAACGUCCGGAAACGGGCGCUAAUACCGCAUACGUCCUGAGGGAGAAAGUGGGGGAUCUUCGGACCUCACGCUAUCAGAUGAGCCUAGGUCGGAUUAGCUAGUUGGUGGGGUAAAGGCCUACCAAGGCGACGAUCCGUAACUGGUCUGAGAGGAUGGUCAGUCACAUUGGAACUGAGACACGGUCCAGACUCCUACGGGAGGCAGCAGUGGGGAAUAUUGGACAAUGGGCGAAAGCCUGAUCCAGCCAUGCCGCGUGUGUGAAGAAGGUCUUCGGAUUGUAAAGCACCUUAAGUUGGGAGGAAGGGCAGUAAGUUAAUACCUUGCUGUUUUGACGUUACCAACAGAAUAAGCACCGGCUAACUUCGUG
rnacentral:rRNA from 1 species